rnacentral:rRNA from 1 species
GACGAACGCUGGCGGCGUGCUUAACACAUGCAAGUCGAACGGAAAGGCCCUGCUUUUGUGGGGUGCUCGAGUGGCGAACGGGUGAGUAACACGUGAGUAACCUGCCCUUGACUUUGGGAUAACUUCAGGAAACUGGGGCUAAUACCGGAUAGGAGCUCCUGCUGCAUGGUGGGGGUUGGAAAGUUUCGGCGGUUGGGGAUGGACUCGCGGCUUAUCCGCUUGUUGGUGGGGUAGUGGCUUACCAAGGCUUUGACGGGUAGCCGGCCUGAGAGGGUGACCGGCGACAUUGGGACGGAGAUACGGCCCAGACUCAGACGGGAGGCAGCAGUGGGGAAUAUUGCACAAUGGGCGGAAGCCUGAGGCAGCAACGCCGCGUGCGGGAUGACGGCCUUCGGGUUGUAAACCGCUUUCGCCUGUGACGAAGCGUGAGUGACGGUAAUGGGUAAAGAAGCACCGGCUAACUACGUG